GGAGGAGAUCAGCUGCAGCCUCAUCAUGAGAGGGGCUCAACAGAGACAAUGCCUGCCUGCCAGCUAAUGCUUUCUCUCAGAACUGGAAGUGAAAUUUUGUGAAAUGCGUCGAUAUCCAGUACUUUGGUUGUGGUGGAGACUGAAUGUUCUACAUGAAGGCAGGUUGCCAGCCCACAAAGCAGAAUUUGUAAUCCAUGGAUAGGAUGCUGACCAUCCAUUCUACUAUAUGAUGUAACUGUGGAAGUGCUGGGACUAAUUUGGGCCAGAUUCAACCACAAAAACAUGUACAUCUCUGUAGCCGGAAUACAUACGUAUUCACAGCGCUUCGCCGGGAUCCCAACAGCCGGCAAAUUAACUGCAUCCCCUGUAGCCAGAUCUGGGACAAGGUGAAUAUUUAACAGAACAGCUCAUCUCUCGAUAAACUGCUGAGGACAUUGGACAUCAGUGACAAGGACAGCAGUGUGCAGCCCUGACGUAACUGCAUGUCCUAUUUCUGUAGGUGGUCAUGCAGGUUAAAAAGAAUGUUACUUAUUUCCAGUAAAUGAACAUGAUGUGUUUAUAUCUCCCAUUACUUUAUGCUAUGUACAAUUAUCAGUUAUUUAUGGUUCAAUCUUUUAGAACCAUGGUGCUAUUAAUACUCGGCUCUUUUUUACUAUUAGCUGACAAUAAAA